UAACAAUAGAUAAGACGAUUGCGUAAAUAAUUACCAAUGAGAAAACAUGUUUUGAGUGAACCACCCAAAACAGUCUGAAAGUCCACCAAGCUUAGGGAUGAUCGGUGGCUCGGUACAUGCCAGUUGAAGGAGUGAGAGUGAAAUUCUGAAUGUGUCUCCAUGCUCCAACAGGAAGAAGGCGGCCUUUACUCUCCAUCUUCAUCGGAUAACACCAUCUCGAGGGUGUCCCCGUGCACUGGGUUGUACUGCUUCCAAGAGUGGAGAACCUUCACAUGUACUUUCCAGCCACUCUUGAAAGGUUUCACAUCUUUCAAAGGGGUAACUUUCAUUGCCGCAGACAUUUUUUUUUGCUUUGCUAAUGUAGUUGCGAGUAAAUG